rnacentral:rRNA from 1 species
CUGGUUCUCCCCGAAAGCUAUUUAGGUAGCGCCUCGUGAAUUCAUCUCCGGGGGUAGAGCACUGUUUCGGCUAGGGGGCCAUCCCGGCUUACCAACCCGAUGCAAACUGCGAAUACCGGAGAAUGUUAUCACGGGAGACACACGGCGGGUGCUAACGUCCGUCGUGAAGAGGGAAACAACCCAGACCGCCAGCUAAGGUCCCAAAGUCAUGGUUAAGUGGGAAACGAUGUGGGAAGGCCCAGACAGCCAGGAUGUUGGCUUAGAAGCAGCCAUCAUUUAAAGAAAGCGUAAUAGCUCACUGGUCGAGUCGGCCUGCGCGGAAGAUGUAACGGGGCUAAACCAUGCACCGAAGCUGCGGCAGCGACGCUGAUGCGUUGUUGGGUAGGGGAGCGUUCUGUAAGCCUGCGAAGGUGGCCUGUGAGGGUUGCUGGAGGUAUCAGAAGUGCGAAUGCUGACAUAAGUAACGAUAAAGCGGGUGAAAAGCCCGCUCGCCGGAAGACCAAGGGUUCCUGUCCAACGUUAAUCGGGGCAGGGUGAGUCGACCCCUAAGGCGAGGCCGAAAGGCGUAGUCGAUGGGAAACGGGUUAAUAUUCCCGUACUUGGUGUUACUGCGAAGGGGGGACGGAGAAGGCUAUGUUGGCCGGGCGACGGUUGUCCCGGUUUAAGCGUGUAGGUGUGUGUUCCAGGUAAAUCCGGUUCACUUUAACACUGAGGCGUGAUGACGAGGCACUACGGUGCUGAAGCAACAAAUGCCCUGCUUCCAGGAAAAGCCUCUAAGCAUCAGGUAACAUCAAAUCGUACCCCAAACCGACACAGGUGGUCAGGUAGAGAAUACCAAGGCGCUUGAGAGAACUCGGGUGAAGGAACUAGGCAAAAUGGUGCCGUAACUUCGGGAGAAGGCACGCUGACACGUAGGUGAAGUGAUUUACUCAUGGAGCUGAAGUCAGUCGAAGAUACCAGCUGGCUGCAACUGUUUAUUAAAAACACAGCACUGUGCAAACACGAAAGUGGACGUAUACGGUGUGACGCCUGCCCGGUGCCGGAAGGUUAAUUGAUGGGGUCAGCGCAAGCGAAGCUCCUGAUCGAAGCCCCGGUAAACGGCGGCCGUAACUAUAACGGUCCUAAGGUAGCGAAAUUCCUUGUCGGGUAAGUUCCGACCUGCACGAAUGGCGUAAUGAUGGCCAGGCUGUCUCCACCCGAGACUCAGUGAAAUUGAACUCGCUGUGAAGAUGCAGUGUACCCGCGGCAAGACGGAAAGACCCCGUGAACCUUUACUAUAGCUUGACACUGAACAUUGAGCCUUGAUGUGUAGGAUAGGUGGGAGGCUUUGAAGUGUGGACGCCAGUCUGCAUGGAGCCGGCCUUGAAAUACCACCCUUUAAUGUUUGAUGUUCUAACGUGGACCCGUGAUCCGGGUUGCGGACAGUGUCUGGUGGGUAGUUUGACUGGGGCGGUCUCCUCCUAAAGAGUAACGGAGGAGCACGAAGGUUGGCUAAUCCUGGUCGGACAUCAGGAGGUUAGUGCAAUGGCAUAAGCCAGCUUGACUGCGAGCGUGACGGCGCGAGCAGGUGCGAAAGCAGGUCAUAGUGAUCCGGUGGUUCUGAAUGGAAGGGCCAUCGCUCAACGGAUAAAAGGUACUCCGGGGAUAACAGGCUGAUACCGCCCAAGAGUUCAUAUCGACGGCGGUGUUUGGCACCUCGAUGUCGGCUCAUCACAUCCUGGGGCUGAAGUAGGUCCCAAGGGUAUGGCUGUUCGCCAUUUAAAGUGGUACGCGAGCUGGGUUUAGAACGUCGUGAGACAGUUCGGUCCCUAUCUGCCGUGGGCGCUGGAGAACUGAGGGGGGCUGCUCCUAGUACGAGAGGACCGGAGUGGACGCAUCACUGGUGUUCGGGUUGUCAUGCCAAUGGCACUGCCCGGUAGCUAAAUGCGGAAGAGAUAAGUGCUGAAAGCAUCUAAGCACGAAACUUGCCCCGAGAUGAGUUCUCCCUGAGACUUAGAGUCUCCUGAAGGAACGUUGAAGACGACGACGUUGAUAGGCCGGGUGUGUAAGCGCAGCGAUGCGUUGAGCUAACCGGUACUAAUGAACCGUGAGGCUUAACCUUACA